rnacentral:sRNA from 1 species
GCGAUCCCCGCAAGGGGAAAGCUAGUGGCGAACGGCUGAGUAACACGUAGGUGACCUGCCCAGAAGUGGGGGAUAACGACUCGAAAGAGUCGCUAAUACCGCGUGUGACCACCGAUCCAUUUCGGUGCUCAAAGUCGCAAGACGCUUUUGGAGGGGCCUGCGGCGGAUUAGCUAGUUGGUGGGGUAACGGCCUACCAAGGGGGCGAUCCGUAGCUGGUCUGAGAGGAUGGCCAGCCAGACUGGGACUGAGACACGGCCGAGACUCCUACGGGAUGCUUCCAGUGGGUAGUUCUAGAAAUCUCCUACAAAUUUCAG